rnacentral:rRNA from 1 species
GACAGAGGGUGCAAACGUUGUUCGGAAUUACUGGGCGUAAAGCGCGUGUAGGCGGCCAACUAAGUCGGACGUGAAAUCCCCACGGCUCAACCCCGGAACUGCCUUUGAUACUGGGUAUCUCGAGUCCGGAAGAGGUGAGUGGAAUUCCGAGUGUAGAGGUGAAAUUCGUAGAUAUUCGGAGGAACACCAGUGGCGAAGGCGGCUCACUGGUCCGGUACUGACGCUGAGGGUGGCGAAAAGCGU